rnacentral:tRNA from 1 species
GUGGGGAUAGUUCAGAGGAAGAGCGCAUGCUUAGCAUGCAUGAGGUCCUGGGUUCAAUCCCCAGACCUCUAUU